UGUAUAUAAUAACAUAGAUCAAAUUUAAAUGUAUGGUUACAUUAAUUGCAUAUAUUGAAGGUGCUUAUUGGUAAAGCUAAAACGUGAUGUCACUGUGGGACGUCCAUCUCUGACCCUUUUUGUGUUGCAACUGAAGCCAAAGUGAGGCAAACAACGUAAACUUCUCCUCAGAAAACAUCACUACAUCACAGCAAUGAAACCUCUGUGGUUUUUCCAGAUUUUUGUAAACUUUUCCUGGUCACAGACUGUUUGCCUCACAGAGUUAAAAUGUAGAGCUUUAUGACCAUCAGCCAUGGUGAAACUGAUGAGGAUGACUUUCAAGCCUGAUACCGUGGACUUUUGACUGCAGCAAAAUUAUUUUUAUAGCGAACAACUGUGAAAUUGGCGGGCUGCAUCCUCGUCUGUACAUAGCUGGAAUACCAUCGACUGGUGAAGCGAUCGUAGCCGGACACA